rnacentral:rRNA from 1 species
GUCAGCUCGUGUUGUGAAAUGUUGGGUUAAGUCCCGCAACGAGCGCAACCCUUAUCCUUUGUUGCCAGCGGUCCGGCCGGGAACUCAAAGGAGACUGCCAGUGAUAAACUGGAGGAAGGUGGGGAUGACGUCAAGUCAUCAUGGCCCUUACGACCAGGGCUACACACGUGCUACAAUGGCGCAUACAAAGAGAAGCGACCUCGCGAGAGCAAGCGGACCUCAUAAAGUGCGUCGUAGUCCGGAUUGGAGUCUGCAACUCGACUCCAUGAAGUCGGAAUCGCUAGUAAUCGUGGAUCAGAAUGCCACGGUGAAUACGUUCCCGGGCCUUGUACACACCGCCCGUCACACCAUGGGAGUGGGUUGCAAAAGAAGUAGGUAGCUUAACCUUCGGGAGGGCGCUUACCACUUUGUGAUUCAUGACUGGGGUGAAGUCGUAACAAGGUAACCGUAGGGGAACCUGCGGUUGGAUCACCUCCUU